rnacentral:rRNA from 1 species
UACGAAGGGGGCUAGCGUUGCUCGGAAUCACUGGGCGUAAAGGGCGCGUAGGCGGGCCGGCAAGUCAGGGGUGAAAUCUUCCAGCUCAACUGGAAAAGGGCCUUUGAUACUGUCGGCCUCGAGGGAGGUAGGGGCAUGCGGAACUUCCGGUGGAGCGGUGAAAUGCGUAGAUAUCGGAAGGAACGCCGGUGGCGAAAGCGGCGUGCUGGACCUCUUCUGACGCUGAGGCGCGAAAGCUAGGGGAGCAAACGGG